rnacentral:rRNA from 1 species
ACAUGCAAGUCGAGGGGUAACAUAGAGAAGCUUGCUUUUCUGAUGACGACCGGCGCACGGGUGCGUAACGCGUAUACAAUCUACCUCUUACUGGGGAAUAGCCCGGAGAAAUCCGGAUUAAUGCCCCAUAGUAUUGCUACUUCGCAUGUUGAAGCAAUUAAAGGUUACGGUAAGAGAUGAGUAUGCGUCCCAUUAGCUAGAUGGUAAGGUAACGGCUUACCAUGGCAACGAUGGGUAGGGGGCCUGAGAGGGUGAUCCCCCACACUGGUACUGAGACACGGACCAGACUCCUACGGGAGGCAGCAGUGAGGAAUAUUGGACAAUGGACGCAAGUCUGAUCCAGCCAUGCCGCGUGCAGGAAGAAUGCCCUAUGGGUUGUAAACUGCUUUUAUUUGGGAAUAAACCUC